rnacentral:rRNA from 1 species
UGGGGAAUUUUGGACAAUGGGGGAAACCCUGAUCCAGCCAUGCCGCGUGCAGGAUGAAGGCCUUCGGGUUGUAAACUGCUUUUGUACGGAACGAAAAGACUCUUUCUAAUACAGAGGGUCCAUGACGGUACCGUAAGAAUAAGCACCGGCUAACUACGUGCCAGCAGCCGCGGUAAUACGUAGGGUGCAAGCGUUAAUCGGAAUUACUGGGCGUAAAGCGUGCGCAGGCGGUUAUAUAAGACAGAUGUGAAAUCCCCGGGCUCAACCUGGGAACUGCAUUAGUGACUGUAUAGCUGGAGUGCGGCAGAGGGGGAUGGAAUUCCGCGUGUAGCAGUGAAAUGCGUAGAUAUGCGGAGGAACACCGAUGGCGAAGGCAAUCCCCUGGGCCUGCACUGACGCUCAUGCACGAAAGCGUGGGGAGCAAACAGG